AGGAUGGUUACAAAAACUGCAUUCUACACAGAGGAAAACAAGUUGACUUGCCUAUGCUUCGGCUAUAUGUCCAAUGACCUAGAUGUACAGUUCAGAGAGAAUGCUAGACUGGGAGUUAAAGUCAUACUCCCUUCUCUCACAAAAAAGUAUCAGCUGCUGCUGCACGCUACGAUCACUCAUUUGCUGUGAGAGCUGGAAGAAUCUGGAAUGUUCUCCCCAAAAUUGUCAAUACUCAAAGGACUUUGACAAGCUUCAAGACAUCUCUUGGAAACUUCCUAGACACCGUUCCAGACAAGCCCCCUACUCCUGGAUACAGUGCAGAAAACUCUAACUCGAUAAUAGACUGGUACAGUCAAGGAGGUGGUCCGCAAAUUGCGUGAAGAUGCCCUGCACUUCUAAACCUCUCAAUAGGCUUAACCAAUAGGGACAAACGAAAAUCAACAGUUCGUGUCAUGGCAGAGAAUAUUUCCUGAUUAAUUUUGCUUUCACAGUUGGAAUAUGAGCAGACUACAUGCCUGAUAAUCCUGAUUCCUACAUCCGUAACUUCAAGGAGGUUUCAAAUGGGAUCGGAGCAACGUGUACACUGUACGUCUGUGUGGCAAUGAAAAUGUGGCAAUUGUAUAAUUAAAAAUUACUAUUCGUAAAAAUAAAAAGUUUUUUAUAGACAACAAGAUUUUGUUCAAAAUUUAAAACAAACUUUUGGGGAUUCAAUAGAAUAGAAAUUAAACGGUUUUGUCAAUUUUUAGACGUUUUAUUUAUUUCACACAGUGUAUGAUAAUUUUAACAAUUUUUAAAUCUGCACUUUCUGGCUGUAUUAUUUCAUGGAUUUGAUCGUAAUAUAAUUAUAUUUUGUAUAAUAUAACUGUAAAUAAAGCAGGUAUUUGGAAGAGAUGAUAAUAUGCUUUUAAGUGUUUAUUAUAUUUUACUGCAUUAAGAUUGUUCCAUAUACAACUGCUUUUUACCGAGUGGAGUUAUACCCAGAUUUUGAUUUUGAUUGCUUAAAUUCUUUCAACUUUUUUACGUUCUAGUUAAUAGGUUAUUAUUAUUGUGAAUUUUGCUUGAAAGUUUGUAAUUCUAAAAUGUUGUAUAAGCACUUAAUUUAUUAACGAAGAAUUCAAAUCUAA